AAUUAAUACUUAACCUUGGCCUUCUAACCCAGGUUGUCUAGUCUUGAAUCUGUAUCAAGCCCACAAAUAAAAAAUAAAAAAACAAGUUAAAAGAAAUCCUCACAAGUCACCACCUGUCUGCAAAAGCCUAUCAUGUUGUCCACUGUGCAAAGGUAACAACUAUUCUAUUAUAAGGAUUUGAUGAAUUACUCCCUUUACUAUCAAAUAAAUCAAUUUAAUUUUUGUAUUAUUAAAAAGAAUAAAAUAAAGUUAAAUUAGAAUAAAAUUAACAUUUAUUAUUUCAAUUUAAAAAACAUUUAUUAUUUCAAAAAUAUCUUUUAUUAAUGAAUAGGUAAUUUUGGACGCAUACUAUAUACAUUCCAUUCUCAUCAUGGGGAAAUAAUUUUGGAAGUUUUCCCAAUGUUAGGGUUGUCGAUGAACAUUUAUCAGUAAUAUGAUUCAACAACACUUAGUCAUGGUUCGAAUUAAUGAGGUAAAAGCAUCUUGGAGGCCGCUAUACUAGGAGUCAGACUGCAUUUUGCCUCCUUUAAUCAAAAAAGGGGCAAACUAGUUCUUGAACAUUAUAUUAAAGAGCAAAUUGGUCUUUUUUUUAAAAAAUUCAUCCAUUUGUACUGUUAAAAACUAGUGUGCUUGAAGAAAUAACUAAACAGUAACAUGUGACGUGCUAUGUGUACCUCAUGUUGACAUUCAGGGAUCAAUUUUUAAGGGUAGAAAUGGAAAAAAUCUUUAAUAGAUGACUAUUUUGCUCUUUAAUCUUAUGUACAGGGACUGAUUUGCUCAUAUUUUGAGUAGAGAGAGUAAAAUGCAAUCUAACUUUUAGUAUAGGGACCUCCAUGAUACUUUUAUCGAUUUUGGAUAUGGUUUAACAGACAAAAACAAGUACAUGAUGCAAUGAAAUUUUCACUCGUACGCAAAAGGAUAUAAUAAAAGCUGCAACAUAACUAUAAUUAGCUAGGUUAUGGAACUAUGGACAACGAUGUAUCAUUUUGCUUGACAACUCCAUUAAAACAAGCUUCUAUUCCAGUUAGAAGCACAAUUAUCAAUGCAGUUGUAUUUAACAAAAAAUAAUAAACAUAAAAACAAGUGAAUCACACUAAAUUUGAUUAUUACAUAGGCAAAAUUAGAAAAUAAAAAAGAACUAAAAAUUGAAAUCGACAACCAUGCUUUUACCUGCAUUUAGUUGAUAUAGAAAAUCUUCAUUUUCCAUUUUGCAUUCAUGUCCCGUUUGGAUAUGGAUUGUAGAAGCCCAAAUUCGCUGGGCCCAUUGUCCAAAUAAAAUAAAAUACAACAAACCCAAAAUUCAAUCCCAACUACCCAAACCUUAAGCCCAAAAUAAUCAGCCCACAAACUUAAAAUUUCAGCAGCAAACCCUAGCUGGCCGCCGCAUGCCUUACGUGGCCUCCUCGUCUGCCACGCCUCCAGCCCACGCCUCCACUCGCACGCCUCUGCCACCACUGUCGGCCACGGGCACCUGC
rnacentral:lncRNA from 1 species